rnacentral:rRNA from 1 species
CAGUCUGCAACUCGACUGCACGAAGCUGGAAUCGCUAGUAAUCGCGGAUCAGCACGCCGCGGUGAAUACGUUCCCGGGCCUUGUACACACCGCCCGUCAAGCCAUGGGAGCCGGGGGUGCCUGAAGUUCGUGACCGCAAGGAGCGACCUAGGGCAAAACUGGUGACUGGGGCUAAGUCGUAACAAGGUAUC